rnacentral:rRNA from 2 species
ACUCUCAGCAACGGAUAUCUUGGCUCUUGCAACGGUGAAGAACGCAGCGAAAUGCGAUACGUAGUGUGAAUUGCAGAAUUCCGCGAAUCAUCGAGUUUUUGAACGCAAGUUGCGCCCGAGGCUUGUCCGAGGGCAUUUCCGCUAGAGCGUCA